rnacentral:rRNA from 1 species
GAUGAACGCUGGCGGCGUGCUUAACACAUGCAAGUCGAACGAAGCACUUAUCUUUGAUUCUUCGGAUGAAGAGGUUUGUGACUGAGUGGCGGACGGGUGAGUAACGCGUGGGUAACCUGCCUCAUACAGGGGGAUAACAGUUAGAAAUGACUGCUAAUACCGCAUAAGACCACGGAGCCGCAUGGCUCAGUGGGAAAAACUCCGGUGGUAUGAGAUGGACCCGCGUCUGAUUAGGUAGUUGGUGGGGUAACGGCCUACCAAGCCAACGAUCAGUAGCCGACCUGAGAGGGUGACCGGCCACAUUGGGACUGAGACACGGCCCAAACUCCUACGGGAGGCAGCAGUGGGGAAUAUUGCACAAUGGGGGAAACCCUGAUGCAGCGACGCCGCGUGAGCGAAGAAGUAUUUCGGUAUGUAAAGCUCUAUCAGCAGGGAAGAAAAUGACGGUACCUGACUAAGAAGCACCG